AUUGAACGCUGGCGGCAUGCCUUACACAUGCAAGUCGAACGGCAGCACGGGAGCUUGCUCCUGGUGGCGAGUGGCGAACGGGUGAGUAAUGCAUCGGAACGUGCCCUGAAGUGGGGGGAUAACGUAGCGAAAGUUACGCUAAUACCGCAUAUUCUGUGAGCAGGAAAGCAGGGGAUCUUCGGACCUUGCGCUUUUGGAGCGGUCGAUGUCGGAUUAGCUAGUUGGUGGGGUAAAGGCCCACCAAGGCGACGAUCCGUAGCGGGUCUGAGAGGAUGAUCGCCACACUGGAACUGAGACACGGUCCAGACUCCUACGGGAGGCAGCAGUGGGAAUUUUGGACAAUGGGCGCAAGCCUGAUCAGCCAUGCCGCGUGAGU
rnacentral:rRNA from 1 species